GCCUCACUGUUAUAACAAACAUACGUCACCAUAUGCAAGUUUGUUUCCAAAGCAGCUCAUGUUGGCUGUCUUCUUGCUGUUAAAAUUCAAGUUCAAUCCAUAAAAGAAAAAAGUAGAGGGCUUGACAGGGAUUUCAUGGUUGUUCAUACUUUUGGGCGGUGACCAAUGCUUUGGGGGGGAUAAUCUGCACAAACCUAAUUUCUCGGACUGAUCCCCAUUGAGGUGUGGCAAAACAUGAGACCACCCUGCUACCUGACAUGAAUAAUUCUCUAUCACUUUUUAUUUUCUGAUCCUCCCGUGAGCCCCCAAAAUGUAAAAGUUAAUUUGAAACUGAAUAUCAUUUCUUCCAGGUGCAUGUUAAUCACAACUUUAGAGGGACCGUGAACUUCAACUACACCAGAGAGAGGAUGUCAUUAUGUUGGAUUUCACGGUCUCUCUAAAAUUGUGAUGGGCAUGCACUACAAAAUAUAUUUCAAUUGCAAAUGAAAAUAUUAUGUGUGCAAUAUACCGCACUAGUCUUCAGCUCAGAGAGAUUCCCACUAGUGGUGUUGUUCCUUCUCCCUCCCUCUCUGCAAAGCCCUCUUCAUAUCACCGUGUUUACCGCCUGUUGACAUGGAAAAUAUUUUAGGGUGAAAUAGCAAUGAUUCAUAUAUACACAGCCUCUCUCUCUGCUCCUGUUUGUCUUUAAACUUAAUGUUUUCCACAAAUGGUGUAUAUAAGCCAUGUUUAGAAAGGGGAGAACACUCACAGCCUUACUCUACAAGACCUGACUGGGAUGGAUACUGCAUUGCCUGAUGAAUAACACAGGGUCAAGCACUGAGCAGAGUUCGUCAGCCACCCACAUUGAUCUGGAAUAUAUCCUCGGAGAGUUGCAGUCGCUCUCUGACUGCAUGGAUCAACUGGCAGUACAAACCCAGCUCAGGCAAUGCGAUCUAAUCGUUUGUGUCGGCCAGCCUGACAAGUUGGGACACCUGAAAAUCCUGGAGGCGCCUCAGCAGGCGCCGCAAGCUUUUCCGGGAAACGACUUGGAAGGCCAACCCUGAAGCUACUAUAAAACCAAGACACCGCAAGGACGACAUCAAUUUGACAGGAUAGCAAGCCAGGUAGUAACUUACAAAGACUGGUCUCUGUUGGAGUAUUCUUUUGACAACACCACCAUCUGCUGUUCGUUUUCUCAAAGUUCAUAGGUUAAGCUUGUCAAAAGUAUUUGCAUUGUGAAUUCUUUGUACAAAAUGUUUGUAAAUUCCCACAUAUUUGUUAUGAAAGCUGGGCCCCAUGUUAAUUUCUGUGCCUUGAGAUGGACAGUGCAUUUGAAAGGAGUAUUAUUGUUACACAAAACUCUGCAUAUAUAGAUGACAGAGUCUACAUCUCCUAGGUUGUGGGGUUUCUUUUUCUUCAUCAAUGUUUCUGUAAUCGUUUUUAAAUCCACUACACGGGUGAUUGGCCCAUGAGCUUUACCAUUGCCCUAUUUGCCAGCUUGAUCUGUUACCACCU